GCUCACCAGUACCAACUGUUCGUCUCGGACAGGGCCAGCUCAGCUGCUGGAGGUCACAACCUGGUGGGAUGUUACAAUAAGCAAUCCGCAGCGGCUCAGCCGUCCACAGACUAAGUGGUUGUGGGUAGGUAACCCCUACUUAAGAUAUAGUCGGGCCCUGUGACAGGUCACAGGGGCUUCUGCGUCCGUAGGUGAACCUGCGGAAGGAUCAUUAAUAAAAGGAUACCUUCGGGUAUACCCCAUCCGUGUCUAUCUACUCUUGUUGCUUUGGCAGGCCGUGGUCUCCCACUGUGGGCUCUGCCUGCAUGUGCCUGCCAGAGGACCAAACUCUGAAUUUUAGUGAUGUCUGAGUACUAUAUAAUAGUUAAAACUUUCAACAACGGAUCUCUUGGUUCUGGCAUCGAUGAAGAACGCAGCGAAAUGCGAUAAGUAAUGUGAAUUGCAGAAUUCAGUGAAUCAUCGAAUCUUUGAACGCACAUUGCACCCGGUGGUAUUCCGCCGGGUAUGCCUGUUCGAGCGUCUGUAGAACAACACCAAGACCAAGCUUAUGCUUGAUUUUGAGGUUGCGGCUUCGGCUGCAGCCUUUAAGAGAGGUGGCGGCGUCCGAUGGACUCUAAGCGUAGUAAUUUCUCCUCGCUACAGAGUCUGCCGGCGCAUUUGGUACCCACUCCAAGCCAACCAAA
rnacentral:rRNA from 1 species